rnacentral:tRNA from 1 species
UGGGGACGUAGCUUAGCUGGUAGAGCGCCGCCUUUGCACGGCGGAGGUCAGGAGUUCGAAUCUCCUCGUCUCCAU